rfam:Trichomonas vaginalis G3, whole genome shotgun sequence.
GUAGUCUGCCAUACGCAGGAAGACCCGCUGAACUGAAGCAUCUCAUUAAGCGGAGGAAAAGAAACUAACUAGGAUUCCCUUAGUAAAGGCGAUCGAAAAGGGAACAGCCCAACGUCUUAAUCCCGCAAGGGAAAUGUAGUCGGUUCACCUAUUGCACUGGUCUAAGUCAGAUGGAAUGCUGCGCGAUUCAGAGUAAAAGCCUCGUAUGACCAACCGCAAGCUUACGAUGGACCGGGGAGAGUCGGAUACUUUGAGAGUAGUGUCUUAAGGGGGUGGUAUGUCCCAUCCAAGGCUAAAUAACGUGAGGAGACCGAUAGAUUACAAGUAGUGUGAACGAAAGAUGAAAAGAACUCUAAAACAGAGGGUGAAAAGUUCCUGAACUUGCUUAGGGUUAAGGCUAUUUAUAGUACCCGUCUUGAAACACGGAUUAGGGAGUUUAUCUGUAGUGCGAGUCUUUGCACGUUAACUGUAAAGGCGUAGAGAAAGCAACUGGCGUUUGCAUGGCUACUGAGCAUUACUGAUAGGACCCGAAAGGUGGUGAACUUUGCCUGCACAGGUUGAAGUCAGGAGAAACUCUGAUGGAGGACCGUACGGGUUAUUGAUGUGCAAAUCAUUUUUC